rnacentral:rRNA from 1 species
UCCUACGGGAGGCAGCAGUGGGGAAUAUUGGACAAUGGGCGAAAGCCUGAUCCAGCCAUGUCGCAUGAGUGAAGAAGGCCUUUGGGUUGUAAAGCUCUUUUAGUGAGGAAGAUAAUGACGGUACUCACAGAAGAAGUCCUGGCUAACUCCGUGCCAGCAGCCGCGGUAAUACGGAGAGGGCUAGCGUUAUUCGGAAUUAUUGGGCGUAAAGGGCGCGUAGGCUGAUUAAUAAGUUAAAAGUGAAAUCCCGAGGCUUAACCUUGGAAUUGCUUUUAAAACUAUUAAUCUAGAGAUUGAAAGAGGAUAGAGGAAUUCCUGAUGUAGAGGUAAAAUUCGUAAAUAUUAGGAGGAACACCAGUGGCGAAGGCGUCUAUCUGGUUCAAAUCUGACGCUGAGGCGCGAAGGCGUGGGGAGCAAACAGGAUUAGAUACCCUGGUAGUCCACGCUGUAAACGAUGAAUGUUAAAUAUGGGAAGUUUACUUUCUGUAUUACAGCUAACGCGUUAAACAUUCCGCCUGGGGACUACGGUCGCAAGAUUAAAACUCAAAUGAAUUGACG